rnacentral:rRNA from 1 species
GAUGAACGCUGGCGGCGUGCCUAAUACAUGCAAGUCGAGCGAACAGAUGAGGAGCUUGCUCCUCUGACGUUAGCGGCGGACGGGUGAGUAACACGUGGAUAACCUACCUAUAAGACUGGGAUAACUUCGGGAAACCGGAGCUAAUACCGGAUAAUAUAUUGAACCGCAUGGUUCAAUAGUGAAAGACGGCUUUGCUGUCACUUAUAGAUGGAUCCGCGCCGCAUUAGCUAGUUGGUAAGGUAACGGCUUACCAAGGCAACGAUGCGUAGCCGACCUGAGAGGGUGAUCGGCCACACUGGAACUGAGACACGGUCCAGACUCCUACGGGAGGCAGCAGUAGGGAAUCUUCCGCAAUGGGCGAAAGCCUGACGGAGCAACGCCGCGUGAGUGAUGAAGGUCUUCGGAUCGUAAAACUCCGUUAUUAGGGAAGAACAAAUGUGUAAGUAACUAUGCACGUCUUGACGGUACCUAAUCAGAAAGCCACGGCUAACUACGUG